rnacentral:piRNA from 1 species
UGGUUCAGCCUUCAUCACAGCCUGUAC